GGGACGGCAUGGGCAGAUUCCCGGCCUCUCCACCACCGCCGGCGCCGCAGCCGUUACCUAACUGACCCGCUUCCCCAGCAGGAUGCCUGCCCUCCCUCCCUCAGGCCCUGCCUGGAAAGAAAGGGGCGCAUUCCUGAGGAGGCCCGGGCGCGGGUCCCCAAAGCCAGCCCAUUUCCAAAUUCUGAAGAGCCAGGAGGAAGAAUAGCUUGGACACACAGGGCUCUUAAACGGAAAGCAUCAAAUGGUCUUUGGUCGAGAUCUGCCGAGAGCUGAGCUAGUCUAGCUCUUCUUGCUCUUUGGGAAGUCUUCUCGCGUCAGAGAAAAUGCCUCGAGCGCUCCUUGGUCCUGAAAUAGAGUAAUAUAGAAGGCAUUUCGAAGCCAAUAAAGGAAAGAAACCGGCUUAAAAAUGGUUACGACUAGGGGGGGAAAACGAGAGACCAAACGGUUGUCACCACGAAACACUAGCAUUUAUUAUAGUCGAUAGCCUUCAAAUAUCGAUGUGUCACGCCAGAGGAAUAAAUAAAAGGUCCUCACUCUAAAUUA